CUCGCUCUCUCUCCUUCCCUUUUGCAUAGAUCACAGAGUGUACUGAGCUCUCAAGGUGGAGUGUGUCCCGUGCAUUAGUGUGUGUGUGUGUCUCAAGGUGGAGUGUGUCCUGUGCGUUAGUGUGUGUUUGUGUCUCAAGGUGGAGUGUGUCCCGUGCAUUAGUGUGUGUGUGUUUGUGUCUCAAGGUGGAGUGUGUCCUGUGCAUUAGUGUGUGUGUGUUUGUGUCUCAAGGUGGAGUGUGUCCUGUGCAUUAGUGUGUGUGUGUUUGUGUCUCAAGGUGGAGUGUGUCCCGUGCAUUAGUGUGUGUGUGUUUGUGUCUCAAGGUGGAGUGUGUCCCGUGCGUUAGUGUGUGUGUGUGUCUCAAGGUGGAGUGUGUCCCGUGCAUUAGUGUGUGUGUGUGUGUGUCUCAAGGUGGAGUGUGUCCCGUGCAUUAGUGUGUGUGUGUGUCUCAAGGUGGAGUGUGUCCCGUGCAUUAGUGUGUGUGUGUUUGUGUCUCAAGGUGGAGUGUGUCCCGUGCAUU
ensembl:lncRNA